UUAAUAUUUAUUAUUUUAAUAAUUACUUCCAAAUUUUGGCACUAAUUUUAAAAAUUAAAUUCUUUUUUCAGAAACAAUUAAAAAAUGGAUCCAUCGAUCCAUGCGGAGAACAUUAGCAUGAAAAUUUAAGGGAGAAGGAGAAAUUUUCAAUUCGAAUCCAGUAUUUUCUGAAAGGGACAAGACAAUAAUGAGAAGUUCCCAAAAUUGAAGGAAUAUUUAUGGACGAAAUCUGAGGGAGGAGCAAAGUUUUCAAUUCAAGCGAAUCAAAAUAUUUUGCUUUUUCAUUCGUCACGUUAUUCGUCGAUUUUCGAAUCUAAAAGUUACCGAAAUGGAGUACAAAAUUGAUGCAAAAUUCUUCACCGAUUGGAAUUUUCAUCAGAAAUGUUUAGCGAAUCCAGAGGAACUUAAAAGAUGUAGUAAUUCUUAGAAGGUAUUGUUACAAGUUGAAGAUAUCGUAGACGAAUGGAUGAAAAUUAUAAAAAAGUAUGUUGUACAAAGUCAACAAUUAAGGAGAGAAUCGGAGAUUGCUGGACCAAGGGAGGAAUUUUUCUAUUGGCGAAGAGUAUUAAUUUGCUUUUCAACAAUUACCGAAUACAUAGAGAAACAAGAAACACAAAGAUUAUUAAAAUUCCUCGAAAUUACGAAAUCCAAAGUUAUUAAGGUAACGAUAAAGUAAAUAAGUAUUUUUAAUAGAAAAUUGUCUAAAUUUAGUCAUAUUAACGUUUCUCUUUCAUUUGGGCCGACGAUAAAGGCGAUCAAUUAGAAAUAUUCAU